rnacentral:tRNA from 1 species
GGUGGCUUGGUGUAGUGGUCAAACACCUGGCAGAGGACCUUGCUGUCGCAAGACCUAGUUGGUUCGAAUCCAGCAGCCAUCA